UACGAAGGGGGCUAGCGUUGCUCGGAAUCACUGGGCGUAAAGGGUGCGUAGGCGGGUCUUUAAGUCAGGGGUGAAAUCCUGGAGCUCAACUCCAGAACUGCCUUUGAUACUGAGGAUCUUGAGUUCGGGAGAGGUGAGUGGAACUGCGAGUGUAGAGGUGAAAGUUCGUAGAUAUUCGCAAGAACACCAGUGGCGAAGGCGGCUCACUGGCCCGGUACUGACGCUGAGGUGCGAAAGCGUGGGGAGCAAACAGG
rnacentral:rRNA from 1 species